CGAGCCAAUGCCGUGGUGCUGCACUCGGACCCUUGCGGCUGAGCCCGUGGACCCAGCCCUGGGCUGGUAGGAGCUGCGGUGCCAGGAGAGGUCAGCAGCUGGUGCUGGAAGGUCAGAGGUGGAAAGGAGGCCAGGCCAGGCUGGAGGGAGCCAUCCUGCUGGACACGGGGCCUGGAACCAUGCCACUGCAGACCGAGAUCCUGCGCGAGGUCUGGGCUGCUGACAGCCCCAGCAAGGAACCAGGCAGCCCCCAGCAGCCAAAGCCCAAGCAGCACUGUCCAUGAGGGCAGAAGGUGAAGAAGAAGCGGCAGGAGCCAAUGCUGGAGCCAGAGGCCAAGCCCCGGCGGCUGCGAGUGAAGAAGCUGGAUGAGGCAGGGGCUGCAGAGGAGCCCCAUGCCCCAGCCCAGGGGAUGAAGAAGUUGAGGAAGAAGAAGGAGGAGAAGACACGGGAGGAGAACAACAAGGACCCCUACUCCAAACCCACCAAGGAGCCUCGGAAGAAGAAGGAGAGCCCAGCCCCCCGCUCCCACGUGGCCAAGGGGCCCAAGAAGCAACAAGGUGGGGGAGCAGCACCCA